rnacentral:rRNA from 1 species
UACGGAGGAUCCGAGCGUUAUCCGGAUUUAUUGGGUUUAAAGGGUGCGUAGGCGGCCUUGUAAGUCAGGGGUGAAAGACGGUAGCUCAACUAUCGCAGUGCCUUUGAUACUGCAGGGCUUGAAUGUACUUGAGGUAGGCGGAAUGUGACAAGUAGCGGUGAAAUGCAUAGAUAUGUCACAGAACACCAAUUGCGAAGGCAGCCUUCUGGGCCAACACUGACGCUCAUGCACGAAAGCGUGGGGAGCAAACAGG